UUCGACGGGUAGCCGGCCUGAGAGGGUGACCGGCCACACUGGGACUGAGACACGGCCCAGACUCCUACGGGAGGCAGCAGUGGGGAAUAUUGGACAAUGGGCGGAAGCCUGAUCCAGCAACGCCGCGUGAGGGAUGACGGCCUUCGGGUUGUAAACCUCUUUCAGCACAGACGAAGCGCAAGUGACGGUAUGUGCAGAAGAAGGACCGGCCAACUACGUGCCAGCAGCCGCGGUAAUACGUAGGGUCCGAGCGUUGUCCGGAAUUAUUGGGCGUAAAGGGCUCGUAGGCGGUCUGUCGCGUCGGGAGUGAAAACCAGGUGCUUAACACCUGGCCUGCUUUCGAUACGGGCAGACUAGAGGUACUCAGGGGAGAAUGGAAUUCCUGGUGUAGCGGUGAAAUGCGCAGAUAUCAGGAGGAACACCGGUGGCGAAGGCGGUUCUCUGGGAGUAUCCUGACGCUGAGGAGCGAAAGUGUGGGGAGCGAACAGGAUUAGAUACCCUGGUAGUCCACACCGUAAACGUUGGGCGCUAGGUGUGGGAUCCAUUCCACGGGUUCCGUGCCGCAGCUAACGCAUUAAGCGCCCCGCCUGG
rnacentral:rRNA from 1 species